rnacentral:rRNA from 1 species
GGCGAGUGAAGCGGCAAGAGCUCAGAUUUGAAAUCGUGUUUCGGCACGAGUUGUAGAGUGUAGGCGGGAGUCUCUGUGGAGCGCGGUGUCCAAGUCCCUUGGAACAGGGUGCCUGAGAGGGUGAGAGCCCCGUAGGGUGCUGCGCGAAGCUUUUGAGGCCCUGCUGACGAGUCGAGUUGUUUGGGAAUGCAGCUCCAAGCGGGUGGUAAAUUCCAUCUAAGGCUAAAUAUUGGCGAGAGACCGAUAGCGAACAAGUACUGUGAAGGAAAGAUGAAAAGCACUUUGAAAAGAGAGUGAAACAGCACGUGAAAUUGUUGAAAGGGAAGGGUAUUGGGCUCGACAUGGGGGGUGCGCACCGCUGUCUCUUGUAGGCGGCGCUCUGGGCGCCCUCUGGGCCAGCAUCGGUUCCUGCUGCGGGAGAAGGGGCUCCGGAAAGUGGCUCUUCGGAGUGUUAUAGCCGGGGCCAGAUGCCGCGUGUGGGGACCGAGGACUGCGGCUUCUGUCUCGGAUGCUGGCAUAACGGCGCAAUACCGC